rnacentral:rRNA from 1 species
UACGUAGGGGGCAAGCGUUGUCCGGAAUUAUUGGGCGUAAAGGGCUCGUAGGCGGUCUGUCACGUCGGGAGUGAAAACUCAGGGCUUAACCCUGAGCCUGCUUCCGAUACGGGCAGACUAGAGGUAUGCAGGGGAGAACGGAAUUCCUGGUGUAGCGGUGGAAUGCGCAGAUAUCAGGAGGAACACCGGUGGCGAAGGCGGUUCUCUGGGCAUUACCUGACGCUGAGGAGCGAAAGUGUGGGGAGCGAAUGGG